rnacentral:lncRNA from 1 species
CAAAUAUAGUGCUUCCAUGCUUCUUGAUUCAGCGAUUCCCAUCACUCUAAGUUACUUCAUGUCAACCAUAACAAUGAUCUAUGCUCAACACCUCACAAAAGAGCUUCAAGAACCAUUAAUUAAUUUAAUAUACCAGGAAUUAUGCUUUUCUAAUAGGCAUUAUUGGUAACUCCUAUCAUCAUUUUCUUCUAUCCAAAUUAAGAGGAAAAGGUGAAAAGGAAUACAAAAUUCCAAAGGUGGCUUAUUUGGGAUUGUGAUAUGUCCAUCAAUUAUCUUUUUGAGAUAAUUGAGUUUUAUGGGAUGUUUUUUAUUUCUCAAACGUUGUAUUCUUUGUGUUUUGCAAUUGGUGAUACUUUUUAUUUGUUGGGGAGGAGUUAUGCUACUAGGAAUUGGUAUCUUUCUAAGUUUGAAGAUUUUCCUAAGAAUGUUAAGGCUAUAAUUCCAUUUGUGUUUUAAGUUGUUGUAUUAUUUUCCCCUAGUGUGUAUAGGGGAAUUCAGUGGUGAGACUUUCGAUAUGUUAUUAUGUUAUUGUAAGGUGUUGUUUGUAUGAAUGUUGGAAUACAUUAUGUUGAUUUUCUUAUUAGAAAUAAUAAAGUUAUUGAUAAUAGUAAAUUUAUUUUGUACACUACAAAAUUUCAUAUUAUUUAAAAAUUGAAAUUAAUAGUAAUUUAUAUAUAGUAUUUAUACUUUUCAAUUUAAUAAGACUCAUUUUGUUGUUAAUAUUCUCAUUUUUUAAUUCGUUGGUCUCAUGCUCAAGUGUUUUUUUAGUCAUUUUAUUAAUAUUAUGUAAAAUAAGUAAGAGUAAAUCUUGAAGUACAAAGGCGAUGCACAUACAUACUAAAUGUUUUCAAACAUUUAAUCUAUUACUCAAAAUAUCAUCAAAUGCCACUUGAUUGUCCUCUACAUCCAUUAAGUGCCGACAUUUAGGGUGUAUAUUUAUUCCAGAAAAUCAACCCCAUAUUCUCAGGACUCAUUAAUCUUGUCAUAAUCGAUGACUAGUAUGGACACAUGUUCACUCAUCAAGUAAAGGGAAAACCUUGAAACCCCUUUGUACUUGUUAAAAGUACAAAUGUGUGACAACCUCUAGUGAUUAAGGGGUGUUAGAGAUUUUAGGGUUGUUAUGGUACUGAAAGCUAGCUCGUGUGAGGCGAGAAACUAUUGUAUGUGUGUAUUUCUAUGUGUCGCAAUUAGCAUUUGAAUAUCACGAUACUGGUGUAUAUAUAAUCUUAGGAGCCUGAAAACGAGUCUUCUUAGAAGUUCCUGCCUUCAGUUUUCAAAGUUUAAAAUGAUCCUUCAAGACGAAGGUCGUCUAAAUCCCUUGGGUGAGGCUCAAAUAAGUCUUUCUGAUGAGUCCUAAUUGAGUCUCAUAUGCGAGACUUAAUUGAGUCCCUCAUGCGAGAGUUAGUUGAGUCCCUCAAGCAACACUUUGUCGAUUUUCUUGACGAGACUUAGUUGAGUCCCCCAGGCGAGAUUUUAGUUGAGUUUUCUUGAUAAGACUUACUUGAGUCCUUCAUGCGAGGCUUGGUUGAAUCUUCCUGAAAUAGACUUAGUUGAGUCCCUUAGGCGAGAUUUAGUUAAGUCUCUCAAGCGAGAUUUUGUUGAGUCUUCCUGACGAGACUUAGUUGAGUCCCUCAUGCAAGACUUUAGUUGAGCCUUUCUGACGAGACUUAGUUGAGUCCCUUAGGCGAGACUUAGUUGAAUCUUAUUGACAAGACUUAGUUUAGUCCAUUAGAAGAGACUUAGUUGAGUCCCUCAAACGAGACUUAAUUGAGGUUUGAAAAGAUCCUCAUAACACAAUUGAUCGUAGAUGGCUAGGGUUUUCUUGUAGAAAUCUAGAUAUUUAAUUACCCCGUAGGGAGACAAGAAUAUUUAUGUGAAAGUCCACCAGUUUGAUUAUCCCGUAGGGCGACAAUGAUCUUCUUGUGGAAGCCCAACAAUGUGAUUACGCCGUAUGGAGGUAAGGAUCUUCUUGUGGAAGUCUAGCAAUGUGAUUACCCUGUAUGAGGCAAAGAUCUUCCUAUGGAAGUCCAACAAUGUGAUUACCAUGUAGGGAGGCAAUGAUCUUCCUGUGGAAGUCCAACAAUGUGAUUACCCUGUAGGGCGACAAAAAUAUUCCUGUGGAAGUCAAAUAAUUGAUUGUUUGGUUCAAAUGGUUGAGGAUGAUAACUUUCUGAGGUAGUGUCGACAGGUUGCCAAAACAAACUAAAUAAGCAUUUCCCAACAUAAAGAAAAUAAAGAGAAAAAGGUAAACUUACUUGUUCAUCUUCAGGUCGAAGAGGCAGAGUAGUGGUAUCAACUGUUGUUUGAGGUUUCUCAUAGGUGUUGCCACUCUUUUUCCUUUUAUGCAGAAGUGGCAUUUUACUCUCUUCAGUAUCCUCUUCCUCAAGGAUUGUUACAUUUUCAUUCAUUCUCAUCUUUUUCCCGAUAAAGGCCUAACCUGGGUUAGUAUUCAUCUCAGGGGGCACAAUGUUGGUCUCAUCAGCAUGAGCGCCAACACUUGUUGUCGUUGGUGGAGGAACAUGAGCAUUUUUUUCGCCAUCACUGAUGUCAAACUCGCUCUCUUUCGGAUGAGACUAACAAAGUUACGCAAAAUGAGUAAAAAAUUGUAUCUUGGUAAGAAAUAGAUUAAAAGUGGAGGUACAAACCAAGACUUCAUCAUCAGUGUCAUACCUAAAUUUUGUCUCGGAAUUUCAAACUUUCAUGCAUCCAACAUUAUUUUUUUUUGCUUAGAAUAAAAUUUUAUUUUUACAAACAAACCAGUUGAAUUAAUUUUCAAAUUGUGCGUAAACUUAAUGGCUAAAUUUUUUUAAGAUCAAGCCUGCAGUUGUCAGUUUUGUUGAUCUACGGUUAGCAUAGUUCAACCUGGCGUGCUCUUUUAAUUUUUUAGGUCCCAUUUACGUUCGCAUUUUGACCCACUUGAGACUUUUCAAUCGGGAACUUUUUAUUGCAAAAUUUAAUCUUUACCCGCCUGUUUUCCAAAAGUAUAUUUCACGUAGAUCAUUUUAAUGUAUUUAUUUUAUUUUUUCGCGCAUUUUUGCGUCCAACUUUUAUUUAUUUUAAUCCCUUUUAUUUUUCGAUUUUUAUCAAAUUGUUCAGAAAAAAUAUAUAGGAUUAACCAUAUUUUCAUUUUUAUUUUAUUGUGGUUAUUUAAAAAUAUUUGAAUUUUAUUUAUUUUAAUUGUUUUAAAUUCAUUUUAAUCUCUUAAAGCAUCUAAAAAGCAUUUUAGGCAUUACUCACAUUUUGGUAAAUCCUAAUAUGUGUUUCUAUGUGCUAGUCUCUAGCCAUUAGAUCAAGUUAAUCAACGGCUCACAAGCAAUAUUCAUGUAUGUCCCUCUCCACCAAGAGGAAUAAGAAUGAUUAAAAAAGAAUUGAAACUAGCGCCACUUGCUAAAAAAAUUUAUUGUCCUGCCAUACUAUUGGGCAAAAAAUACCAAUUAAUCAUUCAUUUCAAACUAAAUACCAAAUUGCCACACUUUCAAAAAAAAUUGCAUUAUUGUUUGAGUGUAGUCAACCAUUGAAAGGGAGGCGGUGUGUAAAAAAUAUGACAAUCACUCAUUAAAUGGGCGACAAUGUAUAAGAGAAAAGAAGUUUCGCCCAUUGAAUGGGCGACAGUGUUAUAACGUGAUAUUUCUGAAUUAAAUUAAAACUAAAGUAAAUUUUAAUUAUAAAUAAUAUAAUAUUAACAAUUUUUAAUAAUGUUAAUUAUUUUUAAUAAUGUUAAUUGAUUAUAGUUAUUUAUAUUUAAUGAAGUGUUAAAAGAAUAAAAAUAAAAAUAAUUAUUAUAAUUAAAAUAUAUUUAAUUAUAUAUAUAUAUUAUAUAUAUAUAUAUAUAUAUUGAUAGAUUCUCAACUUGUUAAGGAGUAGUAUGAAGGAUAUGAUUAUAGUAGUUAUUUUGCUCAUGAAUUUUUCUAAUGUCAUUUAUAAUUGGAGGAUCAAAUCCUAGUCUACCAGUUUUGAAAGGAGUAGCUAUGGAUUCUCCUUUUGGGACAACAAUUUUGACACGCUCUAAUGAAUGAUCAAUAUCAGUAAUGGUUGACCCUGAAACUAGGUUCCAUUUUUUGUAGAAGUUAAUUUGAACAUUGAUCUGGUUUUGAGAAUAAACAUCCGAUGUGAUUCAUUAGACAGUAAGCUUGGAAUCAGUCAAUGAUAAGAAUAUUGGAUCUAAACUUGUGAAUUCCUUUGAUCCAUUAUGGUUGGAGUUUAUCAAGAAAGGAUUUGUUCAAUUUCAUGAACCAAUCUCUUAGGACUUUCUCCUUUGGAUGAUUGAUUUCUUCUUCAAGAUAGUCCUAGUUGGCUGAGAAGUUUGCUGAUUAUAUCACAUUAAUACAAUCUUCCAUUUGAUAUUUGGUAGGUGAUCCUAUAUGGGAGGUAUAAUCUACUACAUGGUAAUUAUGAAUAGGAGACCUGAAGUCUACUUUGAUAUUAGGAUUGAAAUUUUUGUUAGAAGUUUCGGAAAAAGAACUUCUAGCGGACAUUUCUUGAAUUGAAGUUCUAGGAGGAACAUUAUGGGGUUGAUGAAAUGAUUUGAACUUAAUGAUAACCCUACCAUCUUUUUCUUAUUUAAUAUUGAGGUCUCAUGUCUAGAGAUGUUUUGGGGAGUUUGGGAAGUUUGAAUGAUAAAUUCUUCAAGAAUGGUUAUUUCGUUCCACCUCAGUUUUUUCAGAACAAAGUAUGUAGGAUUGUUUGCCUAAAUAUGAAGAAGAGAGGUUUAAUUGGUAGAAGAUGGAGUUAAAACUAAUUUAGAGUCAAGCUGGGAGUACAUAAAUCUAAAAUAAAUUUUGCACAAGAUUGUAAAGCUUUUGCACAUAUCUUUAAAUACAUUUCCUUGAAGGUGAACAUUAAGGAAUACCGAUUUAUGGAUGAGAGGAUCUGUUAUAUCCACAGAGCAAUUAGGAGCAUAAUUAAAAUAAAUUGGUCCAUUGCAAAUAUUGGUUUGAAUCAUGGCUAAAAGAGAUGAUUUGUAUCUCUUAAGCAUGUUAUCUCUUAGAGCGAGAUAAACGGGUGCAUCAACACCUAUAUGGACAAGAGGUUUGACAACAACUUGAAUAGAUCAUAAAUGAAUAUAUUUAUAGCCUUUUGCUAUAUAUUUUCAGAGAGACUUUAGAUAUAAUAUUAAUAAUUUGAAAUUCUCCUUGAACUGAUAUGGUUUCUUCAUGAGUUUUUUUACCGAAAAAACAUUUUUGAAAUCAAAAGUACCUAUUUCGUACAAGGUUUAUAUUUGAGUUUCAGGGAUAUCCCAAUUUGAAUGUUGUUUGGUAUAAGUACCUCUUUCGAUUGCACUACACCAGAAGUUGAACCAAUAUUAUUCUUGGAAAGAAAAAUUCUUAUUUUUAGAAGCCAUUAAAUCUAUAUGAAAUUCUCUGUUUUUUAUCAAUAAUUUUGUGUUUAUCGGGAACACAACCAAGAACACAACCAGGAACACAAACCUUAAGUCUUACCAACGGAUUUACGUUUUCCAAACACUAACCACAUAAUUAAAAGAUAACAACGUUAAUCAUCAAUUCAAAAUUUUAAACAUAACGAAGGACAACUAUAUAACUGGGAACAACAACUUAAUAAAGCAUCUUGCAUGUGAAAGACUCGACAAAAUCCUUGAAGGAGAUAAUUUUGGAAAAUCGACAGUUGACCCAUAGGAAAUGGAAAUGAUAAAGUCUAAAGUAAAUCGGAUAAUCAAGCUCCACAUUGAUGAUGAAUUACAAACAAAACACUCAAAUGCAAAAGAUCCCAAGAUAUUGUGGGACAAACUUAAGGAAAGAUUUGGAAAUCAGAGGAAAGUCUUAUUGCCCUCAUUGAUGGAUCAGUGGAACAAAUUAAGGUUCCAAGAUUAUAAAAGUGUUGUUGCAUAUAACUCUGCUAUGAACUAAAUUAUAGCAUAGUUAGAAUUUUGUGGCAUAGUUAUAACCAAGAAGAAAAGUUGGAAAAAUCAUUUUCAAUCUUCCAUGCAUCCUAGGUAUUAUUGCAACAACAAUAUAGAAUGGGGGGAUUUACUGAGUAUUUUGAUUUAGUUGCAAAUCUUCUAGUGGAAGAACAAAAUAAUGAGCUCCUUAUAAAAAAACAUCAGUUACGUCUCACAGGAACAAUGACAUAUCUUGAAAUAAAUGCCACAACAUUUAAUCGAGAGUGUGGUGGCUAUAAUCGUAUUAAAAGAUGUGGUGGUUAUGCUUGAUUUGAUGGUCAUAGUCGAGGCAGAUAUCAAGGUCGAAACCACUUUCAUGGUCAAGGUCAUGGACCAAUUUAUGUGAAUAAUUAUAGGUUUCCCAAAUAUGACCAAACUAAUAAGAAUCAUCAAGUUAAUGGUAGAUAUAUCUAAUAAGGCCCCUCAAUAAAUCGUGUUGAUUUCUAUUAUAGAUGCAGAAAGAAAUACCAUUGGUUUGUCUAUGGCGUGUAGAAUUCCAUAACAUCAGUCUAAAAGAAAGUUUAUGUUGAUGAUUUAAAUAUCAUUGUAACUAUUAGAGAAAUCAAGAAAGCAAGAGAUUACUUAAAGAAAGAAGUUGAAAUGAAAGAUUUGAGAAAAACCAGGUUUCUACCAUGGUUUACAAAUUGAGUAUACUAAAAAUAAUAUAUUGCUACAUUAAUCAAAUUAUACAUAAAGAGUAUUGAAAAUGUGUAACAUGGAUAAGACAAAUCCUUUGAGUACUUCAAUGAAAGGUAGAACGCUUAAUAUUGAAAAUGAUCCAUUUAGACCUAAGGAAGAUUGUAAAGAUGAUCAUUGCUCUGAAGUAUCAUACCUCAGUGUCAUUGGGUCACUCAUGUACCUUGCUAACUAUACAAGACCUGAUAUAACUUUUGAAGUGAACUUACUAGAAAGAUUCAGUUCAUGUCCUACAAAGAGACAUUGGAAAGGAAUAAAACAUAUAUUUCGAUAUCUCUGAGGUACGUCUGAUAUUGGUUUGAUUUAUUCUAACAAUACAAAAUCAAUUUUGUUUGGUUAUACAAAUGCGAGAUAUUUGUCAAAUCCACAUAUUGCUAAAUCAUAGACUGAAUAUGUGUUUACAUAUGGUGACACUGCAAUGUCAUGGAAAUCUCAAAAGUAAACACUUGUAGCAACUUGUUCAAAUCAUGAAGAAGUUAUUGCUUUUCAUGAAGCAACCAAAGAGUGUAGCUGGUUAAGAUCUGUGACUCGACAUAUCCAAUGAGCGUCUGGUUUACUAACUGAUAAGAAUCCAACAAUUUUGUACGAAGACAAUGAUGCAUGUGUUGCCCGAAUGAAAAAAUGUUACAUCAAAAGUGAUAAAAUCAAGCGUAUUCCUCAAAAGUUCUUCUCAUUCACACAAGUACUCGAAAGUAACAAAGAGGCUGAUAUCAGUGGCGGAACUGAGGGGGGACGUGGGAAGGCCACGGCCACCCCUCAACUUUUUUUUAAUUCAUAUAUAUUAAAUUACUAAAACAUCCUUAUUUUAAAUUAAAAUUAAUUUUUAUUUUUUCUUUUUGGAAAACAUGUGGAAAUUGAAAGAGAAGAGAGAUGAAGAAAUUAUAUCCCGACAUCCGAAUCUGAAACAGUUCUUGAGAAUCCAACAAUUGAAGAGCAUCAUGGUUUUGAAAAUUCUUUGGAACGCGAUCCUGGAAAGCGUCCUCGAUUGGCAAUAUCCACCAAAUCAAGUGGAUGCAAUACAAAGAGCUUAUCUAAAAUGGGGUCCAUAUCAAAUUCAUUUAGAAAACUAUCCUUUGUCGGUAAUGAGGAUCAUUCGAGAAGGUCUCAACAUACUUGGUUUAGCAUAUUUCCAUCUGGUUAGAAUAUUCACCAUCUGAAGAUGCCGCAUAUUGCUUACCAUGUUACCUUUUAGCAAAAAACUAAGUGGACGUCCCUGAUCACUUGUCUUUAUUUUCUAUGGGUUUUAGAAAUUGGAAGAAAGUUAGGAAUGAAAAACAUUGUUCCUUUCUUAAACACACAGGGAAGGAUCCUUGCCUCACCACAAACAAUGCAAUGAAAGCUUGUCAAGACUUGUUGAAUCAAGAUGGUCAUAUUAGAAAUGUUAUUCAAGUGCAAAGUUCAAGUCAAAGAAUGAAUAAUCGGUUACGACUCAAGACUUCAAUUGACACUGUUUGUUGGUUAACACUACAAGCUUGUGCUUUUAGGGUCACGACGAAAGUAGCAAAUCAAGAAAUCAAGGUAACUUUCUUGAGUUAUUGAAACUUUUAGCAUCCUACAAUGAUGAAGUUGCAAAGUUUGUGUUGGAAAAUGCUCCACAAAAUUGCAAGUAUACUUCACAUCAAAUUCAAAAAGAGCCCUUGCCAAAUUCUUUCUAGUAUGGUUGAAAAAAGAGUAUUCUGAGGAAUGGUGGAUUCCCGAAAUUUUGUAUCGUUUGUUGAUGAAGGCUCCGUGAUUGAGUCAAAAAAAGGAACAACAUGCUCUUGUGUAUUAAGGAUUUUUGUUGAUAAAGGUUUGGUUUAAUUACAAGAUAGAGAUUUUUGUAUUGUGGCACAUGUUAUAAAGACACCACAUCUUUAAACUCUUAGGAAGCAAUAUGUGAUAUACUUUCUCGGAACAUAACCUGAUGUUUCUAACAGUUCGUGUCCAAGGUAUGAUGGUGCUAGCAAUAUUGGAGGGGAAUGUAAUGCGUUUACAAAGCCCUCUUUAUGAAGGAUUGUCCUUAUGCAUACUAUGUUCAUUGUUUUGCUCAUCGAUUGCACUUGCAUUAGUUACAUUCAUCAAGAGAAGUCAAAACCUGUUCAUUAAUUUUUUUGAGAAGCUGAUCUUUAUUGGAAUGUUUGUUUGUUCUUCUACAAAGCGUCAUAUGAGUUACAAGCUGCCCAUUAGAAGAAAUUGCUAUUUGUUUAGAGAUUGAUGAGAUUGUAACUAGUUAAAGUGUGCAAAAUCAGUUGGUACAUUUGAAACGAGCUAGCAGAUACUCUGGUGGAUCGCAUUACGAGUUCAAUUUCUAGCUUGAAUAAACAUGUCAUGAGCAACUUGUUUUUUUGAAAUAAAAUUGUACAAAAGAUAGAGGGAGUUAUGCACUACACGUGGGGAUGCAGAUAGUUGUUACACAAUUACUUGAAGGGCAUUUGUUUUUAUAUAUUUCAAUUUUUCCUGGUAUGAAUAAGUAAAUCAUUGGGAAUAACAUAUAUGCUUUUGUUCAAGGCUUUACAAAACCAACAUAAGAGGUAGUUAAUGCUAUAGAACCUUGGUUUCGUUCAACAUAACAUUUAUUUCAGGAUUGAGAUGGAAAUUCAUGGUUCCCAGAUGGGGUGUUAUAAUGUUUGUUUAAACUAGGAGUUGGUAUUUUUUUGUUAAAGCAUGUAUUGACGAUACCUACCCUGAUCUUAAUGGAUGUUCUGUACAACAAGGAUUUGGAUGCUCCCGUCUGAGAGAAUCAAGGUCGCCAAUUCAACAUUACUUUUAAGGUGAAUCUUUUUCACUACAUUGACAACAGUUACAAGAGUGCAUAGCAGAUUUCAGUGAGCAAAGGCAAUGGAUUUGGUUAACUUUUCUUGUUCUUUAUCUCCUAAGAUGGAUAUAAAGCUUUUAGGAUUGAUACUAUCUUGUUCUUUAGUUGAAAAUAUUAUCCUAUGGAUUUUAGUGAUUCAAGGAGAAGAUUAAUCUUGCAAUUUCAACUCCAACAUUUGUCUAUUGUUGCUCGUCAAGCAUCAAACUUGAAUAAUUUAUCAACUUAUUCAAGAACAUUGUUCAUGUUUGGUUGCAUCUGGAUAGACUGAAAACUUACUUCUUGGAUUGAUAGACUACUUCAUCUUAUAUGACUAUUUCCGUUUCUACGGCCACAACUGAGAGGUCUUUUUUCAGCAAUGAAAAUUAUUAAGACUAAGUGAGGAACAAGAUGGAUUGAUGGAGUUUUCUUGGAGAUAGCAUGACAGUAUAUAUUGAAAAGGGAGAUUUAGUGCAAGCAUUAGUUCGGAGUCAAUUAUGACGAUUUCAAUUCACUCGGAACGCGUAAACAUUACUUUAGGUAGUUAAGUCANNNNNNNNNNNNNNNNNNNNNNNNNNNNNNNNNNNNNNNNNNNNNNNNNNNNNNNNNNNNNNNNNNNNNNNNNNNNNNNNNNNNNNNNNNNNNNNNNNNNNNNNNNNNNNNNNNNNNNNNNNNNNNNNNNNNNNNNNNNNNNNNNNNNNNNNNNNNNNNNNNNNNNNNNNNNNNNNNNNNNNNNNNNNNNNCAACUGAGAGGUCUUUUUCAGCAAUGAAAAUUAUUAAGACUAAGUUGAGAAACAAGAUGGAUGGUGAGUUUCUUGGAGAUAGCAUGACAGUAUAUAUUGAAAGGGAGAUUAGUGCAAGCAUUAGUUCGGAGUCAAUUAUUGACGAUUUCAAGUCACUCGGAACGCGUAAAACAUUACUUUAAGGUAGUUUUAAGUCAUGUAAUUUAAAUUUUUAGUAAUUAACUUUGUAUUUAUUUUAACUUUAAUGUUUUAUUUAAAAUACUAUUUACAUUUUAUUUAUAAUCUUUAUUUUACGUUAGCGGUCAUCCCAAUUUUUUUUAUCUGCCUCCGCCACUGGCUGAUAUUCAAUAUAUUUGUUUGAGUGAUAACGUGACAGAUCUCUUCACAAAGACACUUCCUACAUCUGUGUUCAAAAAGCAUGUAUAAAACAUUGAAAUGUGUCAGCUUCAAAAUCUUUGAAGAAGAACUAACAUAAUGGUGUACUCUUUUUUCUUUAUUAAGGUUUUUAUCCCAAUAAAUUUUUCCUAAUAAGAUUUUUAACGAGGUAACAUAUGUUUCUAUAAGAAUAUGUUUAACGAGACUUCAAUAAAACACCAUGAUAGAUAUUUUAAAAGAAAAAUAUUAUAAUAAAUUAGAAAAUUAUUAUUAUUAUUUUAAAAUAUCUAUAAAUUAUCUAUAAAACGUCAAAUGAUCUAUUUACAAUUUUAAUUUAGAAUAAUAAUGUGAAUUAUUACAUUCAUAUAAUAAUUGUAAUUCUAAUGAUACAAAUACCCUCUUUAUUUCAUAUAAAGAUACACCAUAUUUUAAAAAUAUAAGUUUCUCACUCUUUAUUUUAUAAGUUUAAUUUAUAUACUCGAUUUUCUCUAACAUUUUUAAAUUUGUAAUCUUAGGAGAAAAAAAUAUAAAUUCCAAAAGAGAAAGAAAAAAAACUAAUUUAAAAAAUCAGAAAUGUAGGGAACCCACCGCAUUUUGCAGAUCUUGUCCCCUCUAGUAUUUCUCUAGAAUUAUCACCACAUUUUUUGUUAUUAUAUUACUUUUUUUUUCCAAUUUGCAUAUCAAUUGUAUAUUAUUCUUUUAUCAUCUUGAAAUCAUAUCAUUUGCUUCUACUUUAUAUUCAGAUCUGAAACAAACCAACCAAGUAAAAAAACAUCCAAAACCAUAACCAUGUCUAUGUUUUCAAACUUCAUAUUCCCACCACCAUCUUCGAUAUUUGUCACAACCAUGUCAAUUAUAAGCUUUAUUGCACUUGGAAAUUACGGUAUUUCUGAAAUUAGAGGAAAGCAUAUGAACUAUUCAAAAUUCUGGAAUGCAAAUAAUAACAACAUCAACAGUGGGGAAAAACUUAAGUUUUCAAGUAAGGUUGGUAUGUUGUUGGUAUAUACUCCUGCUUUUCUAACUGCUGCGGCGUCGUUUUGGAUCUUUCCCAAGGAAGGUUUUAGAUCUAAUGUUCUUCAUUCUGCCUUGACCCUUCACUACUUCAAGAGGGUCUUUGAGGUAAUUAACACUUCAAAAUUAGAAUAGACACGAGGUGUUUUUUUAUUUAUUGUUAGAGAUAAUUAUUCUGUUACAUAAAUUUUUGAAAAAAUGAUUACUAUUAAUGUCUAAUGUCUACUAGAACACAUUUGAAAUCAGAUAAAAUAAUAACAAGAAAUUAACUACUCUACUUUUUUUUCAUUGUUAUAUGCUGUUUUUCAGAUUUUUUUUUUGAAAUAUUCAAUUUUUUAAAAUUACAUAUCAAAAUGAUCAUGUAGGCAUGACAAUGGGACGGGUCGGAGACGGUUUUUACCUCCCUCAAACCCAAACCCGAAUCCCAAAACAAUCCCGAUUCCCGUCCCAAACCCAAACGGGGAUGGAAAAUAUAAACUCAAAUCCGUCCCAAAUGGGUUCAGAUAUCUGCGCAUCGUCACCAUUCAUUUAAAGAAAUCAAUUUUUUAAUAGAAAUAUUUAUUUUUUCCAAAAUAAAAUUAUAUUUACUGAUAAAAUAAAAUAAUCUAAAAAAAUUCUAUAUAUAUUUUAAAUAUUUUAAAUUAUAAAUUCAAAUUAAAAUAUCAAAACAUUAAACACAUAUUUAAUAUUCUAAAUUAAUGUACAUAAUAAAAAAACGGGGCGAGUCCUAGUGUCUCUAUUACCCGAUUCAUCCUCAUAUUUUAUAGUCGGGAAAAAUCCAAACCCAAACCCAGGCAAAGAGGGUUUUUUCCAUCAAUUUUGGGGCGGAUUCUGGUGGGUAUCCGCAUAUACGACUUUUGUUGCCAUGCCUAAGCAUAUGCCACUAUAAUUGACCUAUGCUAUUAAAAUAUAAGAGCAUGCGCCAUUGCAAUUGACAUAUGCAUGUAAAACGUAGGAACAUGCGUUAUUCUAGUUAGCGUGUAAUUGACGCAUUUAUGUAAAAAAAAAUAAAAAAAUUACAUAUAUGUGUCAAUUGCAGUGACGCCUACGUUUUACAUGCAUGUGUCAAUUAGAGUGACGCAUGCUCCUACAUUUUACAUACAUACGUCAAUUACAUUAGCGCAUGAGUACAAAUUGAUCGAUGCAUGCGCCAUAGCAAAUGACGUCGUAGAUUGAAACUGCCACGUCUCUUUGUACAAUUAUUUAUUGAGUUGCUUUAAUGGAAAAUAUAUUAUUAUUAUUAUUAUUAUUAAUAUUAUUAUCAUUUUUAUUAUUAAUAAAUUAUAUAAAUAUGAGAUGACAAUGUAUUAUCAAAUUAUGAGUUUCAUAUAAAAUAAUCAUAUUGAAAAUAUUUUUUAUAUAAACAAUUUAUAAUUAGCUGGAUUCGAAAUUGAGAAUUUAAAGUUUCUAAUGGAUGACUUAUUUUAAGUGAUAUGUAUUAGUUGAGAUUAAUGAAUCUAAUUAAAAUUUAAAAUCAGACAAUACUAUUUAUUUAUAUUUAUUUAUUAGUAUAAAUAAUUUAUUAAUAUUUAUAAAUUAGAAUAACAAUUCUUACCAAAUUGAACAGAGUGCUUUUACUUAUUUUUUCUUUCAGUUCAAUUAAGAAUAUUACUUUUACUUUAUUUUGCAGUCUCUUUUUGUUCACAAAUAUAGUGCUUCCAUGCUUCUUGAUUCAGCAAUUCCCAUCACUGUAAGUUACUUCAUGUCAACCAUAACAAUGAUCUACACUCAACACCUCACAAAAGAGUUUCCAGAACCAUCAAUUAAUUUAAUAUACCCAGGAAUUAUGCUUUUUCUAAUAGGCAUUAUUGGUAACUCCUAUCAUCAUUUUCUUCUAUCCAAAUUAAGAGGAAAAGGUGAAAAGGAAUACAAAAUUCCAAAAGGUGGCUUAUUUGGGAUUGUGAUAUGUCCACAUUAUCUUUUUGAGAUAAUUGAGUUUUAUGGGAUGUUUUUUAUUUCUCAAACGUUGUAUUCUUUGUGUUUUGCAAUUGGUGAUACUUUUUAUUUGUUGGGGAGGAGUUAUGCUACUAGGAAUUGGUAUCUUUCUUUUUUGAGAUAAUUGAGUUUUAUGGGAUGUUUUUUAUUUCUCAAACGUUGUAUUCUUUGUGUUUUGCAAUUGGUGAUACUUUUUAUUUGUUGGGGAGGAGUUAUGCUACUAGGAAUUGGUAUCUUUCCAAGUUUGAAGAUUUUCCUAAGAAUGUUAAGGCUCUGAUUCCGUUUGUGUUUUAAGGUGUUGUUUGUAUGAAUGUUGGAAUAAAGUAUGAUGAUUUUCGUACUAGAAAUAACAGUUAUUGAUUGAUAAUAAUAAAUUUAUUUUGUAU